AGAGAGAGAGAGAGAGGAGGGCAAGUUUAUGGCAAUCGGGAUGGCCUAGGAAGACAAUAACUACAAAAGACACCUAAGAUUAGCAUUAUCUUGCAAGUUUGUUAACAAUCAUACCAGCUACAAUAACAUGGCUGUGUUGAGAUUGUCAUGCUUUGUCUGUAUUUUUUGCUUCUCUCAAUUUAUUUAUGUAUUACACCCAACACGUAACGCG
rnacentral:misc_RNA from 1 species